CGCUGGCGGCGUGCUUAACACAUGCAAGUCGAACGGAAAGGCCCUGCUUUUGUGGGGUGCUCGAGUGGCGAACGGGUGAGUAACACGUGAGUAACCUGCCCUUGACUUUGGGAUAACUUCAGGAAACUGGGGCUAAUACCGGAUAGGAGCUCCUGCUGCAUGGUGGGGGUUGGAAAGUUUCGGCGGUUGGGGAUGGACUCGCGGCUUAUCAGCUUGUUGGUGGGGUAGUGGCUUACCAAGGCUUUGACGGGUAGCCGGCCUGAGAGGGUGACCGGCCACAUUGGGACUGAGAUACGGCCCAGACUCCUACGGGAGGCAGCAGUGGGGAAUAUUGCACAAUGGGCGGAAGCCUGAUGCAGCAACGCCGCGUGCGGGAUGACGGCCUUCGGGUUGUAAACCGCUUUCGCCUGUGACGAAGCGUGAGUGACGGUAAUGGGUAAAGAAGCACCGGCUAACUACGUGCCAGCAGCCGCGGUGAUACGUAGGGUGCGAGCGUUGUCCGGAUUUAUUGGGCGUAAAGGGCUCGUAGGUGGUUGAUCGCGUCGGAAGUGUAAUCUUGGGGCUUAACCCUGAGCGUGCUUUCGAUACGGGUUGACUUGAGGAAGGUAGGGGAGAAUGGAAUUCCUGGUGGAGCGGUGGAAUGCGCAGAUAUCAGGAGGAACACCAGUGGCGAAGGCGGUUCUCUGGGCCUUUCCUGACGCUGAGGAGCGAAAGCGUGGGGAGCGAACAGGCUUAGAUACCCUGGUAGUCCACGCUGUAAACGGUGGGUACUAGGUGUGGGGUCCAUUCCACGGGUUCCGUGCCGUAGCUAACGCUUUAAGUACCCCGCCUGGGGAGUACGGCCGCAAGGCUAAAACUCAAAGGAAUUGACGAGGCCCCGCACAAGCGGCGGAGCAUGCGGAUUAAUUCGAUGCAACGCGUAGAACCUUACCUGGGUUUGACAUGGAUCGGGAGUGCUCAGAGAUGGGUGUGCCUCUUUUGGGGUCGGUUCACAGGUGGUGCAUGGCUGUCGUCAGCUCGUGUCGUGAGAUGUUGGGUUAAGUCCCGCAACGAGCGCAACCCUUGUUCACUGUUGCCAGCACGUUAUGGUGGGGACUCAGUGGAGACCGCCGGGGUCAACUCGGAGGAAGGUGGGGAUGACGUCAAGUCAUCAUGCCCCUUAUGUCCAGGGCUUCACGCAUGCUACAAUGGCUGGUACAGAGAGUGGCGAGCCUGUGAGGGUGAGCGAAUCUCGGAAAGCCGGUCUCAGUUCGGAUUGGGGUCUGCAACUCGACCUCAUGAAGUCGGAGUCGCUAGUAAUCGCAGAUCAGCAACGCUGCGGUGAAUACGUUCCCGGGGCUUGUACACACCACCCGUCAAGUCAUGAAAGUUGGUAACACCCGAAGCCGGUGGCCUAACCGUUGUGGGGGAGCCGUCGAAGGUGGGACUGGUGAUUAGG
rnacentral:rRNA from 1 species